rnacentral:rRNA from 1 species
AGAGUUUGAUCCUGGCUCAGAAUCAACGCUGGCGGCGUGCCUCAGACAUGCAAGUCGAGCGCGAAAGUUCCCUUCGGGGAAUAAGUAGAGUGGCGCACGGGUGAGUAACACGUAGGUAAUCUACCUUCGGGUGGGGAAUAACCCAGGGAAACUUGGGCUAACACCGCAUGAUGCAGCGGCACCACAUGGUGACAGUUGUUAAAGCGGGGGAUUUUCGGACCUCGCGCCUGAAGAGGAGCCUGCGGCGGAUUAGCUAGUUGGUGAGGUAACGGCUCACCAAGGUCACGAUCCGUAGCCGGCCUGAGAGGGCGGUCGGCCACACUGACACUGACAUACGGGUCAGACUCCUACGGGAGGCAGCAGUCGGGAAUUUUGGGCAAUGGGCGAAAGCCUGACUCAGCAACGCCGCGUGAAGGAUGAAAUCCCUCGGGAUGUAAACUUCGCAAGAUUGGGAAGAAUUAGUAGGGGUUAAUACCCCCUAUGAUGACGGUACCAUUUGUAAGCUCCGGCUAACUCCGUGCCAGCAGCCGCGGUAAUACGGGGGGUGCAAGCGUUGUUCGGAUUUAUUGGGCGUAAAGCGCGUGUAGGCGGUUUUUUAAGUCUGAUGUGAAAGCCCUGGGCUCAACCUGGGAAGUGCAUUGGAUACUGGAAGACUUGAAUACGGGAGAGGGCAGUGGAAUUCCUGGUGUAGGAGUGAAAUCCGUAGAUAUCAGGAGGAACACCGGUGGCGAAGGCGGCUGCCUGGACCGAUAUUGACGCUGAGACGCGAAAGCGUGGGUAGCAAACAGGAUUAGAUACCCUGGUAGUCCACGCCGUAAACGAUGAGUACUAGGUGUUGCGGGUAUUGACCCCUGCAGUGCCGCAGCUAACGCAUUAAGUACUCCGCCUGGAAGUACGGUCGCAAGACUAAACUCAAGGAAUUGACGG